GACGUAGGGUGCAAGCGUUUGUCCGGAUUUAUUGGGCGUAAAGAGCUCGUAGGCGGCUUGUUGCGUCGACUGUGAAAACCCGCGGCUUAACCGCGGGCCUGCAGUUGAUACGGGCAGGCUAGAGUUCGGUAGGGGAGACUGGAAUUCCUGGUGUAGCGGUGAAAUGCGCAGAUAUCAGGAGGAACACCGGUGGCGAAGGCGGGUCUCUGGGCCGAUACUGACGCUGAGGAGCGAAAGCGUGGGGAGCGAACAGG
rnacentral:rRNA from 1 species